AGCGAACGCUGGCGGCAGGCCUAACACAUGCAAGUCGAACGAAGUCUUCGGACUUAGUGGCGACGGGUGAGUAACACGUGGGAACGUGCCUUUAGGUUCGGAAUAACUCAGGGAAACUUGUGCUAAUACCGAAUGUGCCCUUCGGGGGAAAGAUUUAUCGCCUUUAGAGCGGCCCGCGUCUGAUUAGCUAGUUGGUGAGGUAAAGGCUCACCAAGGCUACGAUCAGUAGCUGGUCUGAGAGGAUGACCAGCCACAUUGGGACUGAGACACGGCCCAAACUCCUACGGGAGGCAGCAGUGGGGAAUCUUGCGCAAUGGGCGAAAGCCUGACGCAGCCAUGCCGCGUGGAUGAUGAAGGUCUUAGGAUUGUAAAAUCCUUUCACCGGUGAAAAUAAUGACUGUAGCCGGAGAAGAAGCCCCGGCUAACUUCGUGCCAGCCGCCGCCGUAAAAC
rnacentral:rRNA from 1 species